CACGUAGGGCGCGAGCGUUGUCCGGAAUUAUUGGGCGUAAAGAGCUCGUAGGCGGCUUGUCACGUCGGGUGUGAAAGCCCGGGGCUUAACCCCGGGUCUGCAUUCGAUACGGGCUAGCUAGAGUGUGGUAGGGGAGAUCGGAAUUCCUGGUGUAGCGGUGAAAUGCGCAGAUAUCAGGAGGAACACCGGUGGCGAAAGGCGAGUCCCUGGACACUUCCUGACACUGAGGCACGAAAGCUAGGGGAGCAAACAGG
rnacentral:rRNA from 1 species